GAGCCUACAUUGAAUGAGUUGUAGGGGCAGAUGGCCGCGCAGUGCACCGAGGAACAGUCUCGAUUUUUAGAGGGAUCACCAUUUGAGACUGUUCCAAUUCUUGAUGAUGUCAGUGCCAUCCACAUAGGAGAUGGGGAGCAGAGCCACGAGCUUACUACUGCGCCAUCUACUUCCCCACCCUCAUAUGCCUACCCUCUUG
rnacentral:lncRNA from 1 species